rnacentral:lncRNA from 1 species
GGAGCGGCCCCGUUCACUGCCUUUUCAUAUUUUUGUAUACUCAAUUUGGUAAAAAAAGACUAAGUGGGACUGGGCACAAUUAAAUUUCCUAUAAAGUCGUCCAAAAGGCUCAAAUAUUGGUUUGGAUCUUCUAAUGUUUCUCUAUAAGAAGGAGAAAUUAUUAGGUGGACUAGGUCUUCCGUAGACCAAUAAUGAAAUUCAUCCUAGAAAUACAUUGCUAUUACACAUAAAAAGAAGAAAGAUGUGGGAAAAGGGGAUGAAUUUCAUCCUAUGUCCAUGGUGAAUCUGGUCUAUGUACCUGACUAUAUCAAUAGUGGGUGGUGUGGAAACAUUUUAACUAUGUACCUGACUAUAUCAAUAAGAACCAAAAUGGUUCGUUACUUGUAUCAU